UAGGAUUUGAUUUAGAAUUAGGAUUUGGUUAGGAUUUGAUUAAAGAUUUAGGAUUUGAUUAGAGUUUGAUUUAGGGUUUGGAAUUGAUUUAGGAUUAGGAUUUUGUUAGGAGUUAUUUUAGAGUUUAAAAUUUGGUUAGGAUUUGAUUUAGGAUUUAAAGUUUUAUUAGGAUUUAUUUAGGAUUUAAGAUAUAAUUAAUUUUUGGCCUAAAGUUUGAAUGAAGUCCAAUAGGAUUUUAAUUAGAAUUAAAUUAAGAUUGAAUUGAAAUAUAUUUGAAAUAUAUUUGUGAUCAUUUAAAUAUUUCUUUAAGAUUUCUUAUUAUUUCUUUGUAAUUCUUUUGAGGUUUCUUUGAAUUUGAUUAAAACUUACUUAGCAUUGUUAUAGUAUAAUUAAACUUUAUUUAGUAUUCUAUUAGAGUUAGGAUUUUUUUGUUAUAAUUU
rnacentral:lncRNA from 1 species